rnacentral:tRNA from 1 species
GGCAGGGUAGCUCAGUUGGUUAGAGCGCCGGAUUCAUAAACCGGAGGUUCGUGGGUUCGAUCCCCACCCCUGCUA